AUGAUCUUCUGUAGCUGGUCUCACUUACGUUCUGGACUUCUGGUGGUGCUGUGGGCCAACAUCAGUGAAGCUGCACAUGGGGUGAGCAGACCGGCCUUGCUCCUGAAUUCUGGCAGUGUAUCGUUUGGGCUGGCCGACGGAGAUGGCUAUGGGAGUUCUAGUGAUGCAUUAUACAGGGAGCUAUGGCAUGCUUGCGCUGGGCCGUUGGUGCUUCGACAAGGUGGAAGAGUUUACUACGUCCACAGGGUCAUAUGGAACAGGUAUAUCUCACCGGCAUGGAUGAUUGCUUUUCUUGAUGGCCCUAACAUUGAAUUUGCUACUCAGCACAAACAGUAG
rnacentral:rRNA from 1 species